CUUCCACCUAGGAAGGGGGGCGUGGAGGGAGCCGGGAUCAGCCAGGGGCCAGCAUGAGCCUGAGGGAGGGAAGUCUGGGUAAGGGGCCGAGGGACUGGAGGCUGGAUCCCCGAGGGGAGUAGGAGUCAGAAGGGGUGACAGCUGGGGUCUGGGCCUCGCCACCCGGCUCGGGAAGGGAGUGGCCUAGGAGGGGGAGAACAGGCUCCAGUGUCAGGUAACGAGCGGGUGAGCUGGGAGACGGGCAGGCGCAAGGGCUUGGGGGAAGGCCUGGCGCUGAGGCUUCAGGGGCUUGAGUUCGAGGGUUAGACCACCGAUCAAACCGUCACAGAGGACAUGUAAGCCCUGUUCUCAAGGGGAUCUUGGAACACAUCUGAUACACAGAGGUAAAAGAGCUACUUUGGAAGUAUGGACAAAUGGCCUUGAGUCAGAGGAAAAAGUUCAUUUCAGGGAAGAGAGAAUCUGGAGGCUGCACUAAGGAGGCAGAAUUUGAACUUGGCUUUAAUAGGAUUUCAACAGUGAUAUGAAGAAGGGGACACAUUUCACAUAGAACAACUGCUUGACAAUGGUCUGGUGCCUCAGUUUCCCUCAGCUGGAAUGGGACAGAUUCUUCUGAACACUGGAGAAUCAGAGCAGAGUUUCUGGCUCAGGAGGGAAGAGCCCCCUUCCCUCUUCCCUGGCCCCAGGGAGAAGUGGUCAAGGAACAGGGGUUGGGGCUGCCCUCAUCCUUACCCCCUUUCCCACCAGAAGACCCCCAGGCUGACUCCUCAGUCUCAUUCCUUCCCCACUUGGAGGCCAAGAUCCGCCAGACACACAGCCUUGCCCGCCUCCUCACCAAAUAUGCUGAGCAGCUGCUCCAGGAAUAUGUGAGUGGGAAUGGGGGUUUGGGUACCAAGGGCCUGGGAACGGGGAACCACAGGACACAGCGGUCCUCCAUCUCCCAUUCGCUUAAUCUCAUCCCCAGCUGUGGAAAUCCAGGCUUUGGAGAGGGAUGCACAGCAGACUGGAGGAGAACUCUGUCUGUGCCCCACAUGAUAACCUGUCUGCCUAAACUUGGAAGCUCCCUCCUUGGUGCUGAAAAUCAGAAACGGCCUGAGAGAGCAGGAACCUGACUGGGACUUAGGUUCUAUGCGAUUGUGUCACACAUGGAAGUGAACUGUUCUAACUAGAAUAUGCCCAGAGGCCAAGAAGGGGCUUCAACCUGGGCAAAAAUUGUGUCCCACAAAGGAACGUUUAGAGAGCAGAGGGGUCUGCCAAUAUUUUUGCCCAAAGAAAGAAGAUAAUCCUCUAAGCACCUUAGGGUGGUGGAAGAAGGCUGUAGUUUUGUAUCAGACAGACUGUAAACCUGCCUGAUUUAAGGCUUUGGCCGGUAAUGAUAAAAAUAAUGUAACAAUUAGGACAGUGGACAGUAUUUCCCCAAUGCUGAGUGUGAAAUAUUGUGUUUAAAGCAACAAACAUAAUGCCUGAGCCAGAGGCAAGAUGUUUACAAAGGGAAAUGUUAUUACAGCAUUUAACAAAUUGCAAAUCACUUUUAUCUUUCAUUUGUUUAUUCAAAUGAGAAUUAGUGACUCAUUGAGCCCCUGCUCGGUACACGUACAAAGGUUGGGGAGUACAGGAAGAGGAGUGUCUUCCACAUUUCUAAGAGGCCCUGGUAGAAAGAAAGAGUGGAGAGCAGUUCCCUCGCCACCUUACAGCUAAGAAGACUGGGGCUCCCAGGAGGCUUUGCAUAGAGUGGCUCAACUAGUAAGUGGCCAAGACGAGAUUUGAACCCUGGUCCGUCAGACGACAUUAAUAAAAGAGCCAACAUUUAUCGAGCCCUCCUGGGGCCAGGCCCUGUCUUAAGCACUUCACAUGCUCACCCCUGCCUCAGGAAGCGGACACUUACUGGCUCUGUACUGGGUGCAGCACCAGGGAGCCCCCUUCGGCUCGCCCGGCUUCUCGCCGCCGCGGCUGCCGGUGGCCGGCCUGAG